UACGAGGGGAGCAAGCGUUGUUCGGAAUUACUGGGCGUAAAGGGCUCGUAGGCGGCCAACUAAGUCGGAUGUGAAAUCCCCAAGCUUAACUUGGGAACUGCAUCCGAUACUGGAUGGCUUGAAUCCGGGAGAGGGAUGCAGAAUUCCAGGUGUAGCGGUGAAAUGCGUAGAUAUCUGGAGGAAUACCGGUGGCGAAGGCGGCAUCCUGGACCGGCAUUGACGCUGAGGAGCGAAAGCUAGGGGAGCAAACGGG
rnacentral:rRNA from 1 species